rnacentral:misc_RNA from 1 species
GAUGAAGAACGCAGCGAAAUGCGAUAAGUAGUGUGAAUUGCAGAAUUCCGUGAAUCAUCGAAUCUUUGAACGCACAUUGCGCCUUCUGGUAUUCCGGAAGGCAUGCCUGUUCGAGAGUCAUUAACAACCGUUUCGAUCCCUUUCUUUCAGAAAUUACAAAGAGGAAAAGGGUUUGGUUAUGGUGGAGGAGGGAAAGGGAGCGUUUAGCCUGUAAAAAAAGAGGCUGUGUUCCGCCUCCCCCCCAAAAUUGUACAGGCGGUCGUGUGCGCCCACGCAUCGAGGUGUUGUAAAAGCUGCCACGGCACUUUUCACCUGUGCAGUGCGAGAUUGGCCAGCCGGUUUAAACACCCCUCCAAACAAUCAAAGGUUGACCUCGGAUCAGGUAGGGAUACCCGCUGAACUUAAGCAUAUCAAUAAGCGGAGGA